AACGAACGCUGGCGGCAUGCCUAACACAUGCAAGUCGAACGAGACCUUCGGGUCUAGUGGCGCACGGGUGCGUAACGCGUGGGAACCGGCCCUUAGGUUCGGAAUAACUCCCCGAAAGGGGUGCUAAUACCGGAUAAUGUCUUCGGACCAAACAUUUAUCGCGCUAGUAUGGGCCCGCGUUGGUUUAGCUAGUUGGUAGCGUAAAAGCCUACCAAGGCGACGAUCCAUAGCUGGUCUGAGAGGAUGAUCAGCGACACUGGGACUGAGACACGGCCCGGACUACUACGGGAGGCAGCAGUGGGGAAUAUUGGACAAUGGGCGAGAGGCUGAUCCCGCAAUGCCGCGUGAGUGAUGAAGGCCUUAGGGUUGUAAAGCUCUUUUACCCGGGAUGAUAAUGACAGUACCGGAAGAAUAAGCUCCGGCUAACUCCGUG
rnacentral:rRNA from 1 species